rnacentral:rRNA from 1 species
AAUGAACGCUGGCGGCGUGCCUAACACAUGCAAGUCGAGCGAGAAAGUUCCUUCGGGAAUGAGUACAGCGGCGGACGGGUGAGUAACACGUGAGUUAUCUGCCCUUUAGUGAAGAAUACUUUCGAGAAAUCGAAAUUAAUGCUGCAUACGUCCCUUCGGGGAGAAAGAUGGCUUUAUGCUGUCGCUAGAGGAUGAGCUUGCGGACUAUUAGCUAGUUGGUGGGGUAAUGGCCUACCAAGGCGAUGAUGGUUAGCCGGCCUGAGAGGGUGAACGGCCACAUUGGAACUGAGAUACGGUCCAGACUCCUACGGGAGGCAGCAGUGGGGAAUAUUGCGCAAUGGGCGAAAGCCUGACGCAGCGACGCCGCGUGGAGGAUGAAGGUCUUCGGAUUGUAAACUUCUUUUGGUCAGGAACAAACCUGCGCUAUACGCGCAGCUGAGGGUACCUGCAGAAUAAGCACCGGCUAACUCCGUGCCAGCAGCCG